rnacentral:rRNA from 1 species
UACGUAGGGGGCAAGCGUUGUCCGGAAUCAUUGGGCGUAAAGAGCGUGUAGGCGGCUCGGUAAGUCCGCUGUGAAAGUCCAGGGCUCAACCCUGGAAUGCCGGUGGAAACUGUCGAGCUAGAGUCCUGAAGAGGCGAGUGGAAUUCCCGGUGUAGCGGUGAAAUGCGCAGAUAUCGGGAAGAACACCUAUGGCGAAGGCAGCUCUCUGGGACGGUACUGACGCUGAGACGCGAAAGCGUGGGGAGCAAACAGG